UACUAUUGGAAUGAUGUGUAAAAUGAUAAACAAGAUGAAUUCAACAGUAAUUGAAGAGUCAAAAGCAACGCAAUGUUACACAGAGGGGUUGGAAGGAUUCGACUCUCACAGAAGCAUGGAAGGCUUUGAAAAAACAGUGGAAACAACACAAGAUUGCAAAAACACUAUUUAUUGCAAUUAAUGAUAUAAUAUUUUAACAACAAAGUCACAUUACAAUUUUAUAUUACCUAUACUUACAGCUGUAUAAUUUUGGAAUGAAUUGUCCCAUGAUUGUCCCACCUACAUGUCCCAUAUUAUGUACCCACCACACAAGGAAUUCAUUGUUAAUAAAGUAGAGAGGGCAGUUGUUUUUGAAAUAAAUCAAAAUAGUUUGA